rnacentral:rRNA from 1 species
UACGUAGGGCGCAAGCGUUGUCCGGAAUUAUUGGGCGUAAAGCGCUCGUAGGCGGUUUGUCGCGUCUGCUGUGAAAACCUAAGGCUCAACCUUGGGCUUGCAGUGGGUACGGGCAGACUAGAGUGCGGUAGGGGGGACUGGAAUUCCUGGUGUAGCGGUGGAAUGCGCAGAUAUCAGGAGGAACACCGAUGGCGAAGGCAGGUCACUGGGCCGCAACUGACGCUGAGGAGCGAAAGCAUGGGGAGCGAACGGG